rnacentral:rRNA from 1 species
GUAGUUUGAUCGUGGCUCAGAUUGAACGCUGGCGGCAUGCCUUACACAUGCAAGUCGAACGGCAGCAUGAUCUAGCUUGCUAGAUUGAUGGCGAGUGGCGAACGGGUGAGUAAUACAUCGGAACGUGCCCUGUAGUGGGGAUAACUAGUCGAAAGAUUAGCUAAUACCGCAUACGACCUGAGGGUGAAAGUGGGGACCGCAAGGCCUCAUGCUAUAGGAGCGGCCGAU